rnacentral:sRNA from 1 species
UAAUUUUUUUGUUAGAUUAAUUAAAAUAAUUCUAGCUUCCACCCAAACUCUAGUCACUAUGAUUAAAAUAAUCUAAUCUUUUAUAUAUCUUAUUUUUAUUAGAAAACCUUAAUCAAUAUAUUGUAACCCUAUUCUCUCAAUUAUGACAUCCCUCAAAUUUAUGGCAUCUCCCCAAACUGAUGAAAAUCAAAAUCAAGAAUCAAACGUAAGUAUCAUCUAUCCUUUUAUCGAUUCAUUAGCUAGUGUAAUUAUUUGAGUAUUUCAUGGCAUCGUUGUUUUUUUUUUUUGUAUUCUUUUGAGUUUUUUUAUUGAAUACAUGUUUUGAUUUUUUUUCUCAAAUUAGAAAAUCAUUUGGGCACACGGGAUGAUAUAUUGUACUUUUAUUUUUUAUCAAUUUUUGAGAUGAUAUAUUGUAUUUUUAUUUGGUCAGAAAAUCAGUUUUCUAAUAUUAUCAAUUUAUUAUAAUAAUAUAUUGUAUUUUUGUUUCUUUUAAUAAUAAUAUAUUAUAUUUAAUAUAUAAUUUUAAAAUCAUCAAAACUCUACUUAAAACUUAAAAGUGAUUAUAAAGAUCCAACAAUACAUCUUUACCUAUGUGUGAAUUACAUGUUUAGUUUAGAGUUUUGUGCAAAUAAACCCUCAAAAAAUUGCCAAACUUUAUAAUUUUAUCCUCAACUUUCAAAAUAUGCAGAAUAAUCCAAUAAAGUCAAAAAAAAA